rnacentral:rRNA from 1 species
CAGUCGCCGCGGGAAUACGAAGGGGGCUAGCGUUGUUCGGAAUUACUGGGCGUAAAGCGCACGUAGGCGGAUACUUAAGUUAGGGGUGAAAUCCCAGGGCUCAACCCUGGAACUGCCUUUAAUACUGGGUAUCUAGAGUAUGGUAGAGGUGAGUGGAAUUCCGAGUGUAGAGGUGAAAUUCGUAGAUAUUCGGAGGAACACCAGUGGCGAAGGCGGCUCACUGGACCAUUACUGACGCUGAGGUGCGAAAGCGUGGGGAGCAAACAGGAUUAGAGACCCCCGUAGUCCCUGUCUCUUAACA